rnacentral:rRNA from 1 species
AUCAUGGCUCAGGACGAACGCUGGCGGCGUGCCUAAUACAUGCAAGUCGUACGCUUCUUUUUCCACCGGAGCUUGCUCCACCGGAAAAAGAAGAGUGGCGAACGGGUGAGUAACACGUGGGUAACCUGCCCAUCAGAAGGGGAUAACACUUGGAAACAGGUGCUAAUACCGUAUAACAAUCGAAACCGCAUGGUUUUGAUUUGAAAGGCGCUUUCGGGUGUCGCUGAUGGAUGGACCCGCGGUGCAUUAGCUAGUUGGUGAGGUAACGGCUCACCAAGGCCACGAUGCAUAGCCGACCUGAGAGGGUGAUCGGCCACAUUGGGACUGAGACACGGCCCAAACUCCUACGGGAGGCAGCAGUAGGGAAUCUUCGGCAAUGGACGAAAGUCUGACCGAGCAACGCCGCGUGAGUGAAGAAGGUUUUCGGAUCGUAAAACUCUGUUGUUAGAGAAGAACAAGGAUGAGAGGUAACUGUUCAUUCCCCUGACGGUCUACCGAAGCCG